AACGCGUUAAGUCGACCGCCUGGGGAGUACGGCCGCAAGGUUAAAACUCAAAUGAAUUGACGGGGGCCCGCACAAGCGGUGGAGCAUGUGGUUUAAUUCGAUGCAACGCGAAGAACCUUACCUACUCUUGACAUCCAGAGAACUUAGCAGAGAUGCUUUGGUGCCUUCGGGAACUCUGAGACAGGUGCUGCAUGGCUGUCGUCAGCUCGUGUUGUGAAAUGUUGGGUUAAGUCCCGCAACGAGCGCAACCCUUAUCCUUUGUUGCCAGCGGUUAGGCCGGGAACUCAAAGGAGACUGCCAGUGAUAAACUGGAGGAAGGUGGGGAUGACGUCAAGUCAUCAUGGCCCUUACGAGUAGGGCUACACACGUGCUACAAUGGCGCAUACAAAGAGAAGCGACCUCGCGAGAGCAAGCGGACCUCAUAAAGUGCGUCGUAGUCCGGAUUGGAGUCUGCAACUCGACUCCAUGAAGUCGGAAUCGCUAGUAAUCGUGGAUCAGAAUGCCACGGUGAAUACGUUCCCGGGCCUUGUACACACCGCCCGUCACACCAUGGGAGUGGGUUGCAAAAGAAGUAGGUAGCUUAACCUUCGGGAGGGCGCUUACCACUUUGUGAUUCAUGACUGGGGUGAAGUCGUAACAAGGUAACCGUAGGGGAACCUGCGGUUGGAUCACCUCCUUACCUUAAAGAA
rnacentral:rRNA from 1 species